rnacentral:misc_RNA from 3 species
AACGCACAUUGCGCCCCUUGGUAUUCCGAGGGGCAUGCCUGUUCGAGCGUCAUUACAACCCUCAAGCACUGCUUGGUGUUGGGCCUCGCCGCUAACCCGGCGGGCUCUAAAAACAGUGGCGGUGCCGUCGGGCUCUGAGCGUAGUAAUUCUUCUCGCUAUAGAGUCCCGGUGGAUGCUGGCCAACAACCCCCAAUUUUCUAUGGUUGACCUCGGAUCAGGUAGGGAUACCCGCUGAACUUAA